rnacentral:lncRNA from 1 species
UCUUACCGGAUUCCAUCCCACUUCUUACCGGAUUCCAUCAUCCCACUUCUUACCGGAUUCCAUCAUCCCACUUCUUACCGGAUUCCAUCCCACUUCUUACCGGAUUCCAUCAUCCCACUUCUUACCGGAUUCCAUCAUCCCACUUCUUACCGGAUUCCAUCAUCCCACUUCUUACCGGAUUCCAUCAUCCCACUUCUUACCGGAUUCCAUCAUCUCACUUCUUACGGAUUCCAUCAUCCCACAUCUUACCGGAUUCCAUCAUCCCACUUCUUACCGGAUUCCAUCAUCUCACUUCUUACUGGAUUCCAUCUGCUUACCGGAUUCCAUCAUCCUAACCGUCUAGAAUCCAACAGGGGAAGCCAUUUUGUUUCUAUGGUGAUUUAGGUGUUCUGUAAAACCCUAUAAACACCUGUAACUUGCCAUAUUCUCCAUCAUCCCCAGGCUUCUGGACAGUUGAAAUGAUUAAAUCCUACCCUAAAUAAUUCUUUGGUUGAUUUAUAUCGGGCCAAAGGCUUACGGUGGCCCAGAAUGUUGCUGUUGGUUCUAUUGAAAUGAGGUCACCUCCUAGCACACAUGCUAUUUUUUCCAAGUCAAUGUUUGGAGAUCGAUGAAUUUAAAAUUUAAGCCCACUCCUUACCUGAUACAGCAGAAAAUGCUCGUGAUCAGAUACAGGGAGUCUGCUUGUUUUCCCAGGCUCACGGUGCCAUCAUGUGGCAGGAUUGGAAAGUCCCCUGAGGGCACAGUCUGGACGGUCACUGUGCUAAGAUGAACCCUGCGAGGCGGUGCUGACGACGCCACGACCGUCGGAGUGAAGGAGAGUCGCCGGUCUGCCCGCGAGGUUGGCACCUGUGACGGAGCGGCUACACCUCCCUCAGGGACCUCAAGGCUAAGCUCUCCAGACAAGGUUACUGUCUGCACCGAGGACCAAGUCAGAUUUUGGAUUGAACCCCACACAGACGUCAGUAUUAAGGGAGCCCACGGACUGUCUGAACACAGGUGAGCAGGUGGCCGGGUGUACUGGCAAUGCCACGUUUACCCAACAGCAGCGAUCCAGCUCCAGAUUCUGGUGUUCAAAUUCCAGCUCUACCGCUCAAAGCUGCGUCAUUCUGAAAGCUGUGCUUAACUCACCAUCAUCUGUAAAAGAGGGAUAAUGACUAAAUGCGUUACGAUGAGGAGGAAAUGGGGUGAUACUUGUAAGGGACUAAGAACAGGACUUAGUAUGCAUUAUGUGUUAUCUUAGCCCCGAACCUGAACCACGGUGUUACUCCUGAUCUGGUGCAUCAGGUAACUAUUAACUGUGAAAAGUAUAAGAGAGAAUUGCUUCUUGGC